rnacentral:rRNA from 1 species
UACGGAGGGUGCAAGCGUUAUCCGGAUUUACUGGGUUUAAAGGGUGUGUAGGCGGGCUUUUAAGUCAGUGGUGAAAAUCUCCGGGCUCAACCUGGAAACUGCCAUUGAUACUAUUAGUCUUGAAUUUUGUUGAGGUAGGCGGAAUAAGUCAUGUAGCGGUGAAAUGCAUAGAUAUGACUUAGAACACCAAUUGCGAAGGCAGCUUGCUAAACAAAUAUUGACGCUGAGGCAACGAAAAGCGUGGGGGAUCAAACAG